rnacentral:rRNA from 1 species
ACGAACGCUGGCGGCGUGCUUCACACAUGCAAGUCGCACGGAAAGGCUCCAGCUUGCUGGAGUACUCGAGUGGCGAACGGGUGAGUAACACGUGGGUAAUCUGCCCUGCACUCUGGGAUAAGCCUGGGAAACUGGGUCUAAUACUGGAUAUGACCUUUCUCCUUAUGGGGUUUGGUGGAAAGUUUUUCGGUGUAGGAUGAGCCCGCGGCCUAUCAGCUUGUUGGUGGGGUGAUGGCCUACCAAGGCGACGACGGGUAGCCGGCCUGAGAGGGUGAUCGGCCACAUUGGGACUGAGAUACGGCCCAGACUCCUACGGGAGGCAGCAGUGGGGAAUAUUGCACAAUGGGCGGAAGCCUGAUGCAGCGACGCCGCGUGAGGGAUGACGGCCUUCGGGUUGUAAACCUCUUUCAGCAGGGACGAAGCGUAAGUGACGGUACCUGCAGAAGAAGCACCGGCUAACUAUGU